UACGGGGGGGGCAAGCGUUGUUCGGAAUUACUGGGCGUAAAGGGCUCGUAGGUGGCCAACUAAGUCAGACGUGAAAUCCCUCGGCUUAACCGGGGAACUGCGUCUGAUACUGGAUGGCUUGAGUUUGGGAGAGGGACGCGGAAUUCCAGGUGUAGCGGUGAAAUGCGUAGAUAUCUGGAGGAACACCGGUGGCGAAGGCGGCGUCCUGGACCAAUACUGACACUGAAACGCGAAAGCCAGGGGAGCAAACGGG
rnacentral:rRNA from 1 species